AGUCUGACCAGGCUCUAUACUGUUGGAUGUUCAAGUUUUAAUACUGAAAUUCCUUACUGCAUAUACUGUUCAUCAGGACAGAUUCUUAACACAUAUUCAGCAGGUCUAGGGUUGAAGUUGUUAAAAAUACCCACUUUAGACAUAGAUAAUACAGAUUAGCCUUAUACACGAGACAUUGUAAAAUACUGCCUAAUUUAGACCUAGACUUAUAAAGCAGCCCGUCUUAUAUGCGAGAAAAUACUGUGGUUGUCAAAAUUUACCAAGUCCAAAUAUCCUCGAGCAACAUUUAUGAUAUUUAUACCUCAUAUUGAUAUAUUUAAAAAUAAAAAUUUACAGUAAAAUGUACACAGGCUAAAAUACAUGUAUAUAAUUAUAUAUUUAUAUUUGAUGUGUUAAUUUGUAAGGUCUCCCAAACUGUGGUAGAUGAAAAAAAAGUAAUUUCUCUGUAAAAAUAUAUUGUUUGUAUUACACUGCAUAUUUUUCUUGUUGAAUAUCUUCACCUAUAAGUGCAGUAACAGGUUAACUCCUAUUAAAGGUCAAUAGAAAUUGACCCAUUAUUGCACUAAGGUGAUGAUAAUAUUAAGUCAAUAGUUGAUCCUGAAAGUAGUUAUCCUAUACUUGGUGGAGAUAAGUUGUGAUUUUGUGAUAGAUCUUGUUGUUCUUAGUUUAUUCUUGUAACCCCUUGUUAUCAGAUAUUAUUAUAUUUUAUUCAUUUUGUUAGAACUACCUCAAGAAAAUGUCAACACAAAAAACUUGAACCAAAUUCGGAACUAUUAAUUUCAACAUGCCUUACGUUUUUAUUAAAAGCUUUGGUUGUAUAAAAAUCUAGUUAUUUGAUACAUGAAGUUUUAGAUUUUCUGUAUUUGUUUCUUUUCAAUGUUAGAAAUAAAAAAGUAAAAGCUACAAAUAUAAAAAAAAAAAUGAAAUAUUAAUUGUUAGAAAAAAGUUAUCAUAAAAAUGUAAGAGUUCAUGUAAUUACUGUUAGAGAAACAUUAUCAUGGGAAUGUUAAAGUUCAUGUAGUUAUUGUUUCACAGAUUUUAUCAUUGGGAUGUAAUAGUUCAUGUAGAUAUUGUUAGACAAAUGUUAUCAUUGGUAUGUAAGAGUUAUCAUUUGGAUGUAAGAGUUAUCAUUUGGGUGUAAGAUUUCAUGUACUGUUAGACAAAUGUUAUCAUGUAGGUUUAUUUUGUUAUUGUUAGACAAAUGUUAUCAUUGGGAUGUAAGAAUUAAUGUUAAUUUUAUAAGACAAAUGUUAUAAUUGGGAUGUAAGAGUUAUCAUUUGAAGGUAAGAGUUCAUGAAGUAACUGUUAGACAAAUGUCAUCAUUGGGAUAUAAUGGUUCAUGAAAUAACUGUUAGACAAAUGUCAUCAUUGGAAUGUAAUAGUUCAUGUAGUUGUUAGACAAAUGUUAUUAUUGGGAUGUAAGAGUUAUCAUUUGGAUGUAAGAGUUCAUGUUGAUUCCAUUAGACAAAUGUUAUCAUUGGGAUGUAAUAGUUCAUGGAGUAACUGUUAGACAAAUGCCAUCAUUGUGAUGUAAUAGUUCAUGAAGUUAGACAAGUGUUAAUAUUGGGAUGUAAUAGUUCAUUAAGUUAGACAAAUGUUAUUAUUGGGAUGUAAUAAGUCAUGAAGUAACUGUAAGAUAAAUGUUAUCAUUGGGAUGUAAUAGUUCAUGAAGUAAGACAAAUGUUAUUAUUGGGAUGUAAUAGUUCAUGUAGUAACUGUUUGAUAAAUGUUAUUAUUGAGAUGUUAUAGUUCAUGAAGUUAGAUAAAUGUUAUCAUUGGAAUGUAAUAGUUCAUGAAGUAACUGUUAGACAAAUGUUAUUAUUGAGAUGUAAUAGUUCAUGAAGUUAGACAAAUGUUAUCAUUGGGAUGCACUAGUUCAUGAGGUAACUGUUAGACAAAUGUUAUCAUUGUGGUGUAAUAGUUCAUGAAGUAACUGUUAGAUAAAUGUUAUUAUUAAGAUGUAAUAGUUCAUGAAGUUAGACAAAUGUUAUCAUUGGGAUGUAAGAGUUCAUGAAGUUCACUCAGCAGUUUUGAGAGAGUUUUCACUGGGAUGUAAAAGAUAUCAUAUGAUUACUAUUAGGUUUACAUUAUCAUUGAGAUGUAAAAGUAUUACUGUUAAGACCAACAUUUUCAUCAGGAUGUGAGACUUCAUAUAGUAUUUUGACAUCUUUUGUAUCAAAAGUAUUCUAUUUCCAUCUUUCUCUUAGUUAAAUAAGAACUUGGACAUUUGAUUAUAUCCUGGUUUACAUGCUGUAAAACAUGGAUCCUCUCAAAUAACAGUCUAGAGGUUUAAGCCAAUCUGCUACACAUUAAGAAAUUAUACAAUGAACUUUUUUUAAAAUGAACUUUCUUAUGUAUUUCAAGUUACUCAUUUUUGUUCAGAUGUACAUUUGUAUGUUCAUUUAACUAUCUGCUUGAAAUGAUUAACCUUAAUAUCAUCAUUGUAGAGUCAGGCCAGCCUGUACAUACUGUCUGACCAGGCUCUAUACUGAUGCUAGCUCAACUUUUGUUUUGUUUGGUUUUAUGGCACACCAACACAAAAUAGGUCAUAUGGCGCCAAAACAGGAAAGAUGAUUUUGGCUAACCUUAGGGUGUUACAAACUUAAAGCACUCACCUGCUGGAGCUAAGAGAUAAAGAUACUCCAGUAAUUCGAACAAAAUUCAGUCACCUCUUACGAUAACACAGGGAUAAACGAUGACUGCAAUUCUGAUGCCUCAACCCUUGAGGGCAAACCCUCAGCCACAAGGGGAUCAGUUUUUGUAUUUUGAUAUUAAAAUACCUUUAACUUUGAAUGAACUGUUCCAAAAUCCAAGCAGGGUCAAACCAUCACACAAAUUUCAGCAAGUUCAAAUAUUUAUUGAAAUUCUGUAACUAAAAUUUUGUAUCACUUUUACACAACAUUCAUAAGAAUUUUAACACUGGCACUAUAAUAUAAUCACCAGAUCAUUUUCUUACAUUUACAAUUUCAAAAUAUAAUGAUAUAUAUAAAUAUAUGUAUAUAUAUAUUGUAUCAGUGAAGAUGCUGAAAAUUUAAAUCAAAAUGUGUUUACAGAAACCAAUGUUAUGAUGAAAACUCGUUAUUUAUAUGCCCAAAAGAAUUUCGGGCAUAUCAUGUUAUACCCCCUGGCGUCCGUCCCCUGGAGCAUAACACAAGUUCCAUUUGGCUUACAGUGUUCAAACUUCAUACCAUGAUUGCCUUUAUCGAAUAAAAGAUCCAUAACUAUAUUUGGGUCACAAGGUCAAAGGUCAAUAUCAAAUGACCUUAAUAUUUACUUUUGGGCAUAUUAUGCUCCGCCUAGCGGUGCUCUUGUUCUAGAUAACGAUUGUUUCAUAUAUGCCAGGGAAAUUCAAUCUUAACCUGCUGGAAGGAAAAGUGAUUUGAGCCUUGGUCACCAGUAUAGAUCAAAGCCAGCCUUCAAAUCUGUGCAGUCUGACCAGGCCCUAUAUUGUAGACCAAGUUAACUUUAAAUGUAUUUUUCAUCCUUGAUAUCCCUAUAAAUUAUGAUAAUGGACUGUUCCAAAAAAUGGAAGCUGGAUUAGUCCAUUUGAGACAUUCAGCAGGUUAAGGGUAAAAUUAACAAAAUGUAUGGAAGGAAAAAAGAGUAAACAGGUAGUAUUAUAAAGGUUGUUUAAAUUCAUUAUAUUGUAUUUUAUUUCCAUUUUAAAACAGACAUGAUAUUUUAUUAUUUGUAUAUGAUCAAGUGAAUGUUUGUAGAAUAAAAUUUGUUAUGAAAAA